UAUGCCGUUAUUGCAGAUAAAUUGAUGCCUAUUUUUCCAUAACUAAAAAGCCGCCACGUGUCCCGAGACCUGGCAACUCCACCUUCCCCAAACUCCAAACCUUUCCUCCCACCCUCGCCCUCUCUCCACAGCUCCGCCUCUCUCUCUCUCAUCAAUUUAUCACCAAAUCCCUCUAAUUUCAUCCCUUUUGGCCCCCUAGAUAUAUUUCCAUGAAUUAGGGAUUAUAUAUCGCCCAACAGAUACUUCCGCCUCUCAGUCCCUUUUCUUAUUUUUUUCCUCGCCGGUUUUUUUUCUUAUUUUUUUUGAGAGAGAGCGCACUAUUUUACGACCCUUUUUUAUUAUUAUUAUUUAUGAUUAGUUUUUGAUUGAAGGAGGGUUACGAGGGAUCCACAAGGGUUGGGGGAUUUUCUGGGGUUUUCUUGAAUUUUGGGUUUUGAGAAAAAAAAAAUUCAGGGCUCUGGUGUUGUUGGAAUCCCCUGUUAUCAGGUAAAUCUGAUGUUUGUGUAUUUUCGAUUUCAUGCGUUUCUGAAUCUGGAUUUGUUAGGUUUGCUCGGAAAGCUCAAUUAUUUGGCUGAAAAGUUUGUUAUUUUGGGAUGAAUGCGUGUGACGGUGCGGAUUUCGGUGUUGCUAUUGGCCUAAUUGAAUUUUUGAAUGGUUUAAAUGUUUUCGUAACUCCUUAACUGUUAAGAUUUGGCCUUUUCUUGAUAAGUUCUUGUUGCAAACGAUUUGAGCUGUUUAGUGCAAGAAGUUGGUGGACCUUGAACGAGGGCUUUAGGAUUGGGAUUGGGAGCAAACGAGUGUUUUGAGACAUCAAUGUGUAUAUUUGAGGGGGUGAAGAUUUGAGCGAAGUAGAAUUUGGGACUACCCGAUAUAAGUGAUCAACAACUGCCAGCCUUGUCCUUGAUGGAUAGCCCUACAAUGAUCCCGGCAUGCGUCCUGAGUUCUGACGAAAGUCAGCGUGUUAAAUUCUUAUGUAGUUUCAGUGGUAGUAUACUGCCUCGCCCCCAAGAUGGGAAGCUUAGAUAUGUUGGAGGUGAGACACGGAUUGUGAGUGUUCCGCGUGAUAUAACUUAUGAAGAGCUCAUGGGGAAGAUGAGGGAGCUUUACGAGGGUGUAACUGUGCUGAAAUACCAGCAGCCGGAUGAAGAUCUCGAUGCUCUUGUAUCUGUUGUAAACGACGAUGAUGUCACUAAUAUGAUGGAGGAGUACGAUAAGUUGGGAUCGGCGGAUGGGUUUACUAGGUUGAGAAUAUUUUUGUUUGCCCAUCCUGAUCAAGAUGGUUCUUUACAUUUCGGAGAUGGAGAUGAAAGGGACAAUGAGAGGAGGUAUGUGGAUGCCUUGAAUAGCCUUAAUGAUUCUCCCGACUCGAGGAAGCCACUAGGUGAGUCGAUCCUAGUUGGAUCAUUAGAUGAUGUCCAGGCUGCUGAGCAAUACAUUAAUCAGAUGAAUCUAGACGGCAGUGUCCACAACCAGAGAAACAUGGAAUUACCAAUGGCUCAGAUGAAUCUGCGGCAUCUGACAAUUCCUCAUCUAGGGUCAGGGCAACUCCAGCAAGCAGUUAAUCAAAGGUAUAAUGAAAUGGAGGCUCCAUGGAGUCCUGCUUAUUACUCUCCUCGACAACCUGUAGAUCAGAGACCAGUUGCUGAAUUUCCUACUUCACCUUCAUCAUCUCGUUAUCGAACACCAUAUGGGGAAUUUGAUAGAGUACCUGAGGAUUAUAACCGACCUCCUAUCAAUAAUCAUUCUAUUUACGAGCAACAGCCACAGUAUGCAGACAAUGUGGUGCUGAUUCCAGCUGGCUCUGUAGUCAAUGAGAAGGCUGGUUUUGUAGGCAACAUGCUCCAAGGGUCCAAUGUCUAUGAAGGCAAUAGUGUUUGUGAUCAUUGCCGGAUGCCAUUUCAAAGAAAUCAAAUUUAUCCUGAUUCUUCUUGGAAGCCUGGUGAGCAGUCGCAUCUAGAGCCAACAAACAUGGGAAAUGGAUAUCUUCAAAUCCCUAAUUCUUGUGCCGAGUGCCCUCGAAACCGAGACGUAUACAUGUUGAAUUCGGACGGGAACCUGAACCCUCCAUACUACUGCAGGGAACCAAACGAUCCUCGGUCAGUGUAUUCCGAAACCCAUGGUCAUGAAAGAGGAUGGGUUUCGCCACAUCAGCCAAAUCCUUGGGCUGAGGAACCGAGACCACAGUUAUCUGUAUCUGUGUCUGGAAGGUUAGCUGAUAGUUACAUUGUAGACAAUGGGAUGAAUGUUCCACUCGGGCAUGGUAAUGUAUGUGAUGGACACCAUGUGCAAUCACACUACAUCCAUCAUGAUGAUCAACGCUAUGCUCGUCCUGGAGUUGACUAUGGCAGUCAAGGGUUUCAGGAUCAAGCAGCAGCAACAGGGUCACAGGUCCAUUUGCCAUCCGCAGAGGAGCGCAGUGUUCGCUUUGGAAAUGCUCCCUAUACAUAUGGUACUGAUAAUGUAUACCAGGUUCCUCAUGGUCAGAUUCCUACACAACCUCUGUGGAGAAAUGUUCAUAGCCCAUUGCAGGGUGGUCCCUCUUAUGAAACACCUGCUUCUUCUCAGCUAGUUAAUGGCUCUGUUCCCAUGGGAUUCAUUCGUGGUGCUCUGGAGGGAAGUCCCAGGGUGAGAACUGGUUUAGAGAACCAGAGCCCCUGGGCAGCGGAAUCAUCACACAAAGUUGUCGGCUAUGAUAGUUCUCUCAUGUCAGACUUUCCUCAUCUCCCGGCUGUGAAAUUUCCUCCUAACGCCUACGCUUUGGAGAAUCACCAUCCAUGUAAUGUGGAAUCUGUCCCAUCAGCAGCUGUGUUGGCUACACCAUUUACUUCUAAAGAUCCAUUUCCUAAGUCGGAUCCGGUCUUACUUGUUGAUGAUGCAUCAGUGACUACGAAUGUUGCUGCUUCUGGAAUUGAUUCCCGGAGUGGCAGUGAAACUAAUAAAUCAGCUAUCAUGAAUGAGAAUGGUGCAUUUGAAGGGAGCAAAGAGAAAAAUAAUGGAGGGGUGGCCAAAGACUCUUGUGUUCGUGCGUCAAUUGACAAGAAUUCAGAUGCUUUAGCUUCAUCCAUAGUCAUAAGUUCUGAUGUUCCAAAGUCUGCUGUUGAAAAUGGUGAUGCUUUAAAUGGUGAUGAAACUAAUGCUGGUGCUCCUGAGCAGCAAGAUGACAGAUUAGAAUUCUUGCCCGAGUUAAUUGCAUCCGUGAAGGAGGCUGCUUUACAGAGUUUGAAGGAGGUCAAAGAUAAAGUUCGAGUAGACUCUGAUUUUGGCAGUGUGCAUGAUGCUGAUACUGAGGAUGCUCGAAACCACAAAGAUGGAAUGGAUGGCAACAUGGAGUUGGAGGUAGAUUCUGAUAAUGACAAUGUUGACCAUUCCAAGAUAGAGAUGACAAAAGCUGAGACAGAAGCACUUGAUCGAGGAUUGCAGACAAUAAGAAAUGAAGAUCUAGAGGAAAUUCGGGAACUUGGUUCUGGAACUUACGGUGCUGUAUUCCAUGGGAAGUGGAAAGGAUCGGAUGUAGCCAUCAAAAGAAUAAAAGCCAGCUGCUUUGCUGGAAGACCAUCUGAAAGGGAACGUCUGAUUGCUGAUUUCUGGAAAGAAGCUCUGAUACUAAGUUCAUUGCACCAUCCAAAUGUUGUCUCUUUCUAUGGAGUGGUUCGUGAUGGCCCCGACGGAUCUUUAGCAACUGUGACAGAGUUCAUGGUUAAUGGAUCUUUGAAACAAUUUCUUCAGAAAAAGGACAGAACAAUUGAUAGACGUAAGAGACUCAUAAUUGCAAUGGAUGCUGCAUUUGGUAUGGAAUACCUGCAUGGAAAAAAUAUUGUUCAUUUUGACCUAAAAUGUGAAAAUCUGCUGGUAAACAUGAGAGACCCACAUCGUCCAGUUUGCAAGAUUGGCGACCUGGGGUUAUCAAAGGUAAAACAACAUACUUUAGUGUCGGGAGGUGUUCGUGGGACAUUACCGUGGAUGGCACCUGAACUCCUGAGUGGAAAGAGUAACAUGGUGACGGAAAAGAUCGAUGUUUACUCGUUUGGGAUUGUCAUGUGGGAGCUACUUACUGGUGAUGAGCCAUAUACGGAUAUGCACUGUGCUUCUAUAAUUGGAGGGAUUGUGAACAACACGUUGCGCCCACAAAUCCCUACCUGGUGUGACCCGGAAUGGAAGUCAUUGAUGGAAAGUUGCUGGGGUUCUGAUCCGGCGGAGAGGCCUUCGUUCUCAGAAAUAGCUCAGAGGUUAAGAAAUAUGGCGGCAGCAAUGAAUCUGAAAUGAUGCUUUCACUCAAGAAACUUUUUUAUACUUUUGUGGGAGUGCAAAGAUGUAGAGGGAAGUGUAUACCUCCUGAUAAUAAUCCGUAUUAUAUUACCCUCUUCGUCCAUGAAAUACAAUAAUAUUAGUGUCUUGUUUCGUGGAGCGCAAUAAACACGCCUUCACACCAUGGUAUUGCUACUGUAACAUAUGCGGAGAUCGGCCGUGUUCAAUAUCUCCAAAUUGCCACUCUGGCUAGUACGAUGUUGGAAGAUGGUGUCGCGCUUGGAUGAUGAUUCUCCCCUUCGGCCACCAGAGAUAUGUAAAUAUAUUUAAGCAAUAUGCAGUUGAACGUUCACGUUUAAUCCUCGUAUCGUGUAAAUUUCCACAAUCGUGUAAAUUCGACACCCGAUUCUCGUCUUUGGUGCUCAUCUUCUCAAGUUUUGGUAUGUAGAAGUUGGUACGUUGCCGGAGAGUGAUUUCGUUGGUUAAUAAAUUUUGUAGGAAGCAUUCUGGUGGCUUAGGAAGAUAUACACUCUUUUUCAAAGGGGGUUAGGACUGUGAUGUGAAGGCUAUUAGUAUUCCAUUACAAUUCUUGAUAUCAUCUGUGAAGACUACUAUUUUUUUUUUUCGUUUAAUUUCAAAGAGGACGUUUUUUA